CCUACGGGAGGCAGCAGUGGGGAAUAUUGGGCAAUGGGCGCAAGCCUGAACCAGCAACGCCGCGUGAAGGAAGAAGGCUUUCGGGUUGUAAACUUCUUUUCUCAGGGACGAAGAAAGUGACGGUACCCGGAGAAAAAGCAUCGGCUAACUCCGUGACAGCAGCCGCGGUAAUACGGAGGAUGCGAGCGUUAUCCGGAUUUAUUGGGUUAAAGGGGUGCGUAGGCGGAGCGUUAAGUCAGUGGUCAAAUUGAGGGGCUCAACCCCGUCCCGCCAUUGAAACUGGCGCUCUUGAGUGGAAGAGAGGUAUGCGGAAUGCGUGGUGUAGCGGUGAAAUGCAUAGAUAUCACGCAGAACCCCGAUUGCGAAGGCAGCAUGCCGGCUUCCUACUGACGCUGAGGCACGAAAGCGUGGGGAUCGAACAGGAUUAGAUACCCGGGUAGUC
rnacentral:rRNA from 1 species